GCUGGCGGCGUGCCUAACACAUGCAAGUCGAACGAGAAACUCCGGGCUUGCUCGGAGGAGUAAAGUGGCGCACGGGUGAGUAACGCGUGGGUAACCUGCCCUUGGGAUAGGGAUAACCUUGCGAAAGCGAGGCUAAUACCUGUUAAGACCACGUCCCGCAUGCGGGAUGCGGUAAAAGGUGGCCUCUUCAUGAAAGCUACCGCCUGAGGAUGGGCCCGCGGCCUAUUAGCUUGUUGGUAGGGUAAUGGCCUACCAAGGCAGUGAUGGGUAGCUGGUCUGAGAGGAUGAUCAGCCACACUGGAACUGAAACACGGUCCAGACUCCUACGGGAGGCAGCAGUGGGGAAUAUUGGGCAAUGGGCGAAAGCCUGACCCAGCCACGCCGCGUGUGUGAUGAAGGCCUUCGGGUCGUAAAGCCCUGUCAGGUGGGAAGAACCGUUUCAGCACUAAUAAUGCUGGAGCCUGACGGUACCACCAGAGGAAGCACCGGCCAACUCCGUG
rnacentral:rRNA from 1 species